GACGAACGCUGGCGGCGUGCCUAAUACAUGCAAGUCGAGCGGACCAAUAGAAGCUUGCUUCUGUUGGUUAGCGGCGGACGGGUGAGUAACACGUGGGCAACCUGCCUGUAAGACUGGGAUAGCUUCGGGAAACCGGAGCUAAUACCGGAUAAUUCACCCCCUCGCAUGAGGGGGUGCUGAAGGUCGGUUCACGCUGACACUUACAGAUGGGCCCGCGGCGCAUUAGCUAGUUGGUGAGGUAAUGGCUCACCAAGGCGACGAUGCGUAGCCGACCUGAGAGGGUGAUCGGCCACACUGGGACUGAGACACGGCCCAGACUCCUACGGGAGGCAGCAGUAGGGAAUCUUCCACAAUGGACGAAAGUCUGAUGGAGCAACGCCGCGUGAGCGAUGAAGGCCUUCGGGUCGUAAAGCUCUGUUGUUAGGGAAGAACAAGUAUCGGAGUAACUGCCGGUACCUUGACGGUACCUAACCAGAAAGCCACGGCUAACUACGUGCCAGCCGCCGCCGUAACAC
rnacentral:rRNA from 1 species